rnacentral:lncRNA from 1 species
UUUUUUUUUUUUUUUUUUUUUUUACACUCAAACUUAUUCUUACAUUUUCUAAUUACUUAUGUCCGUUUUUUUUUUUUUUUUUUUUUUUUCUCUUUAUUUAAAGGAUAAAAAUAUUUUAUUAACUGACUUUAAUUUAUCAAGACGAGUAGACGAAAAUUUUGAAUUUCUUAUGAGUCAAUGUUGUGGAACUAAGGGACAUUUGGCACCUGAACAGAAGAGUGUAGGUUAUGACCGUAUGGUAGAUAUAUGGGCUUUUGCAAUUAUUAUAUCAAAAUUUCUGAAACAUAAAAAUUUUCAUUAUUUUUCUCAUGCCGAUUAUAAUAUAAAUUUAAAACAUUUUGAAAUCCAGGAUAAUUUUUUAUUAAAUUUGUUGUUAGCUUGUAUUGAUGAAAAUCCUUUCAUGAGACCCUCAUUUGAAGACAUUACUAGGUUAAGAUACACACGAACGUACAAAAAGAUUUAUAUAUAUAUAUAUAUAUAUAUAUGUGUACCUACACAUCGUUACAUAUGUUACAUUAUUGCUUGAUACAUUAUAAAUUUGAAACUAUAUCUUCUUUUUUUUACUCAUCAAUUAGGUCACUAAUAAGAGAAGUAGUCAAAAACGAAUUGGAAAUGUGUUGUAGAAAAAAAAUGAUUUUGACUAAUUAAAUAUAAGGACUCACUUUUUCUUUUUCUCUCUUUUCUCUUUUUUUUUGCUCCUAUUUUUUCUCUUUUUUUUUCUCCUUUUUUUUCUCUUUUUUUUUCUCCUAUUUUUUCUCCUAUUUUUUCUCUUUUUUUUUCUCCUAUUUUUUCUCUUNNNNNNNNNNUUUUUUCUCUUUUUUUUUCUCCUAUUUUUUCUCUUUUUUUUUCUCCUUUUUUACAUUUUUUUAAUUUAAAUGUCAUUUUUUAAGUUUCGUUUGACAUUUUUGAAUAUAGCUAAAUGUGUUUAUACAUUGUAUGUAAAAAAAAAAAAAAUAAUAAUAAUAAUA